ensembl:snRNA U6 U6 spliceosomal RNA
GAGACACCACAGAGGCCUCAUUCUAAAAUGUCAAUGAUACAGAGUCGGUGGGCAUGGCCCCUGCACAGAAUGUGACACGCACGUUUGUGAAGGAUUCCAUAUUUUU